UUAUUCACUACCUGCUCUGCACUGUAAUGAAAUCCAUACUUACACUAGAGCUACCGCGGUUACUGCAUUACCGCGGAAACACAAUCACGUGUUGAGGACAGGGAAACUUAAUGCUACAGGGCAUAGGUGGCUUGCUGCCCUAGCCACAUACGAUUUUGAAGUAAAAUAUCACCCUGAGAAGGUCAAUGUUGAGGCUGAUUUGCUUUCCCAAAACUGGAUUGAACAGGACACUGAGAUGUGGAGAAACCUUUCACAGGGUGAUGUGCACUUGGCAGACAAACUAGGUGUUCCAGCAGAAGGUGUUCCUGAGCUGUAUGCUUUUGCAACUCAUCUCAAUUUGGGUCAGCUAGAACAGUUCACCCGAGAAGACCUGCGAGAAGCGCAGCUAGAGGACAGUGUUCUCAGAGUAGUUAGAGAGGCUUUGAACACAGGUCAGUGGCCGGCAAACUAGAGCUGCCGCGGUUACUGCAUUACCGUGGUAACGCAAUCACGUCACGUCCACCGCAGAGUCAAGCUGAUCACCGCUUCACCGCUGGGUUUUGUUUUUUUCCCCGUUUAUUUUAGGCCAAUUGUUUAUGUUCCAAUUUUUACUUGUAAAAGUUGUGAUCUGAAAUAAAUGCAAUGCAAUUUUUAAAAUAAUUAUAAUUAUUAUUGUGUAGUCUAUUUUCUUCACUCCAUGUGUUCGAAAGUUUUCACUCACAGUUGCGCAGUUAACGUUCUGAUCGGAGAAAGUGUCACCCAGAUCGUGCUUUGAAACUGUUGGCUAUGGAAAGUUUUUGCUUCAAAUUAGGCUAAAAACAUGGAUCUUGUAGCGAAACCCAACGUUACUUCUCCUGUUUGGGAACAUUUUGGCUUUGAGCCCGAUGAAGAUGGAAAGCCAAAGAAUUUGGAUGAGUCAGUGUGCCGCAUUUGCAGCAAGAAAAUCAACGUCAUGCGAGGAAACGAGACAAAUCUAGCAUCGCAUCUUAGGACCACUCAUCGUCCGUUAUACGAUGCAAUGAAAGGCACCCCAUCUACCUCGGGAGGUACCGGCUCGGCACUACGUCAGUUAGGAGUCUCAGAGGCAUUUACCAGAGUGACUAAAUGCAACCGGGACAGCAACAAGUGGCGAGCACUUACAACAACUGUAACAAAGUAUUUGGUUGUGGAGAUGGUGCCCUUCCGGACUGUAGGGAAGCCAUCAUUCCGAGCUAUGCUUCAGUCCUUCGACAAACGGUAUGAACUGCUGGGCAGAACCUAUUUUUCAGAAACAGCCAUUCCAGAAAUGUACUUGUAAAAAAGCAAAAUCGUAGCCCGGAGGUUUAAAUUAUAAUUUUUUUUAUGGCGGUUACCGCAACGGCUUGAAUGGCUUCGCUAAUUUUUGCGGUAAGGAAAAAAAUCACCUGUCCAUAGCCACGCUCCCAAACACCAUCUAAAAGCA